rnacentral:rRNA from 1 species
UUAGAGUUUGAUCAUGGCUCAGGACGAACGCUGGCGGCGUGCCUAAUACAUGCAAGUCGAACGAGGUUUAAUCAGUUUGCGGUGGUGCUUGCAUCACCCAUUACCGAUUAAACCGAGUGGCGGACGGGUGAGUAACACGUGGGUAACCUGCCCUUCAGCAGGGGAUAACAUUUGGAAACAGAUGCUAAUACCGUAUAACCACGGAGACCGCAUGGUCUCCGGGUAAAAGAUGGCGCAAGCUAUCACUGAGGGAUGGACCCGCGGCGUAUUAGCCAGUUGGUGGGGUAAUGGCCUACCAAAGCGAUGAUACGUAGCCGACCUGAGAGGGUAAUCGGCCACAUUGGGACUGAGACACGGCCCAAACUCCUACGGGAGGCAGCAGUAGGGAAUCUUCCACAAUGGACGCAAGUCUGAUGGAGCAACGCCGCGUGAGUGAAGAAGGCUUUCGGGUCGUAAAACUCUGUUAUUGAAGAAGAACGUGUGUGAGAGUAACUGCUCACGCAGUGACGGUAUCUGACCAGAAAGUCACGGCUAACUACGUGCCAGCAGCCGCGGUAAUACGUAGGUGGCAAGCGUUGUCCGGAUUUAUUGGGCGUAAAGGGAACGCAGGCGGUCUUUUAAGUCUGAUGUGAAAGCCUUCGGCUUAACCGAAGUCGGGCAUUGGAAACUGGGAGACUUGAGUGCAGAAGAGGAGAGUGGAACUCCAUGUGUAGCGGUGAAAUGCGUAGAUAUAUGGAAGAACACCAGUGGCGAAAGCGGCUCUCUGGUCUGUAACUGACGCUGAGGUUCGAAAGCGUGGGUAGCAAACAGGAUUAGAUACCCUGGUAGUCCACGCCGUAAACGAUGAAUGCUAAGUGUUUGGAAGGUUUCCGCCCUUCAGUGCCGCAGCUAACGCAUUAAGCAUUCCGCCUGGGGGAGUACGACCGCAAGAUUGAACUCAAAAGGGAAUUGACGGGGGCCCGCACAAGCGGUGGAACCAUGGUGGUUUAAUUCGAAGCAACGCGAAGAACCUUACCAGGUCUUGACAUCUU